rnacentral:lncRNA from 1 species
CGCAGUUAACCCCCACCUUCUGACUUGAUUUCAAAAUGAUAGAUGAGAAUAUUGUUCGUAUGUCAAGACCAGUUGAUCCAAUCGUGGGUUAUAGAAAAGCAGUGAUCCUCACAAAUGUAAAGCUGUAUAUUUACCCAAGACAAGAAUACCUGGCAUCUACUGAGGGCCUUUACACAGACCCUUUGUGGAGUAUCUCCGGCUGCCAAUCACAACUAUGACCCUCUUCAACUGAAGUAGCCUGAUCGGUCUUUGACCCUUGCCCCCUCACAUCAGUUAGGGAUACUUCUUCAGAGGGGGUAAUAUUAUGGAUAGCUAAACUAGGUAGAAAUAUUGUAGGCAGUUAGACAGGGCUGGGCUCAGGAGGUCAAUGUAGAAGACAACUGUAGCUGGAGGCAAGUUCACUAAAGGUCAGGCUUCAAGAAUAAGAAGAACUACUCACUCAUGUACUUCCGCUAGGAUGAACAGCAGCAAUUGAUAUUCUGAGUAGGCAUCACUCACCUUGGGGUGGAGGACCAAACCCCCUUAACCCACCCCUUCCAGAAAAGUCCUUGUCUGCCCAUGUGCACUUGCUAUGUGACUUGUUUCACCAUUUGAUCCCCAUUUAACCAAUAUUACCCUAGUGACUAUACUUAUAUAUUUAUUGCUUGACCAUAGUUUUGUCCCACCUCACACCCAUCCUACGAUUUGCUAUGGGGUCAACAUUACCUAUGACUAUACUUGUAAUCUUGUUGAUUGAUGAUAGUUUUGUCCCACCUUAAGACUUCCUCACCUCAUGGCUUUGCUCAAUAAAGCACCCUUGAAAAGCAGGGCUGGCGGGCAACCCCCUUUCCAGGCCCCCUUCUAACCCUCUCAGACAGAAGCUUCCUAUCUCUCAAUAAAUUCUUCCUAUUCUUAAAAAAAUCUUUUCUUCUCAAAUAUAUUUUCAAUUAAGUAAUUAAUUUACUCCAAAGCAGAAAAGCAGUUCAAAUAAGAUCUCUCCAGUAUUCAGAUAGGAGGAAUUACUAGCUCUCAACACUCACAAAUCUGGAACUGGGUGUACCUGAUGAAGCAAGCCCUCAAUGUUCUCAUGUCUGUCUUCUGGGGUAGUGGUAGGUUUUUGUGUGAAUCAAGAGGACUUCUCGCUAUCCUGUUACACAUGCUACCUCUUCUAAUUAUGUUUCAAUGAACAUUUAAUGUAGUUGAAAAUAUUUACAGGCAGUUAGUCCUUGGGAACUACAGUGUUUUAGAGUUGAACUGAAAAUUAACAAUGUACAAGUACAUUGGCAUUAUAUAAGUAAACAGUAUACUGAACCUUCAAAUACUUGAUACCUAGUUACAUCAAUUCACAGGACUAUGGCUAUCCAUUAGGGUAUGCACCUGUUUGAGCAUGGAAGAUACAUUAUUUCCACACAAGAUGUUUCUCACUAGGGGUUAAUUUUAACCUAUUAGGUUUGUUUUCCUUGAUUUGAGUUCUAUCUCUUUACUCUCUUGUGAAGUAUGAUGGAAAAUUAAUUGUUUUAUCUCAUAAAAAUUUUCUUAUCUAUGUUAGUCUUUAGAAACAAUGAGAUAUUUUUGGCUUGAUAGUCUUUAAAAGAAAACUGAGCCUUCAAAAGUAUUGACUAUGACUAUAACAAGCAAAAGCAAUGCCUGUUCAUUUAUUGAAUUUCUAAUCUUCAAAGUCUUUGUUGUGGAACUGUUAAAAAUAAGGUUUUGAUUACCUGCAAGUGUAUAUAUAUAUAUAUUUUUAGAUUUUGAGUACAUCUGAGAAUUACAAUAUAUUGCCUUAUAUUAUACUUAAAAAUGUUUUGUGGUGUUCAUAUUUUUCUAUAUUUCCAGAUAGUCCCAUUAAAGAAUUUACCCUUGCAGCUAGUACAACUGAAAUUUUAUUAUCAGGCCUUAUAACUGAAACAGAGUAUGUGGUAACAGUAGCUUCAAAUGAUAUUAAAGAAAAAAGUGUACCAAUUGUAGGCCAACUAAGAAGUAAGUACAUAAAAUAUAUUCAAGUAUUUUUAUAUUUUUUCUUUUGCAAAAGAUUUUUUCCAACUUCAGAUUUAAUAUACUAUUAUACACUUAAUUUACACCAGAAUGAAUGAUUCUCUCUAUGAUCCUACUUAUUAGUGAAUAUGAGUAAUUCAUUCCCAGCUUAUAGCUCAGCAUAUUUUAGUGACACAAAAUGGGUCACAGAACUUGUUUAGUCAUGUGACACAUACAGCCAGCUCACUGAACUCUAUCACAUCAGAGGAGAAUGACAACUGUAUCCAAGUUGACAGAUAAAGCAGAUGCACUCAAAGCUAAGCUGGGGUUAUGAGGGUAAUGAAUGAACAUUGGGAGUUUUGGCAUGUUUCAAAGACAACCAGAUAUGUUGAAAGAGCCAGGACCUUCUUGUAUGCAGUUGGUGCAUGAUCAUCUGUCUUGACUUUCAGAAGAGCAUGAAUAUUACUUCCCAAUCAUAGAAGACUCCUGAACUGGGGAGAAAUGGAUUUUCCACUCAUUUGUGAAUAAGCCAGGCCAGUUGACUUUGUGCUAGAAGAUCAACUGCCUGAGAUAGCAAAUGACAGUGAUGUUACAAGUAUGUUUGAGACAAUGUCAAAUCUCCAUACUUUCUGGAUUAAAGUCAAAGUGGAAUAUCUUGAGAUUGCCACAAAAGCACUCAAAUGCCUCCUUCUGUUUCCUACCUUUGUGAAGAAGGAUUUUCUACAGUGACAGCAACUGAAAAUGAGAUGUGAAAUGGACUAGGCUACACAUUCCAGGUAUCACUGUUUCCCAUUGCUCCUAGAUGGGCUAUCCAACUGUAGGGUGAAAAGCUUAGGGCCCCCACUGAUUUUGCA